rnacentral:rRNA from 1 species
AGGUACCGAGUGGCGAACGGGUGAGUAACACGUGGGUAAUCUGCCCUGCACUUCGGGAUAAGCCUGGGAAACUGGGUCUUCUACCGAAUAGGACCAUUUAGCGCAUGCUUUAUGGUGGAAAGCUUUUGCGGUGUGGGAUGGGCCCGCGGCCUAUCAGCUUGUUGGUGGGGUGACGGCCUACCAAGGCGACGACGGGUAGCCGGCCUGAGAGGGUGUCCGGCCACACUGGGACUGAGAUACGGCCCAGACUCCUACGGGAGGCAGCAGUGGGGAAUAUUGCACAAUGGGCGCAAGCCUGAUGCAGCGACGCCGCGUGGGGGAUGACGGCCUUCGGGUUGUAAACCUCUUUCAGCAGGGACGAAGCGCAAGUGACGGUACCUGCAUAAGAAGCACCGGCCAACUACGUG